AUGUGUCGGUGUUUCUUCAGCUUGUGCCAUUUUAGUCUUCCCCGUCGAUUCAAGGGCGGACAUCGAGAUGCAAAACUAGAUGGCAUACGUAUUUCCAAGCUUGGUGGCCUGUUCAUAGUUGAUACGGUGCAUUUACGCCCUGAUGCACAAGUCAAGCAAACUGUACCACAAGAUGCAGUCGAGUGCCCAGCAGACGGUGACAAGGAGCAUCUCGGUGGAUUCAAGGUCGGCGAGGAAGCGGCUCUCCCGAGGAACGAGAUUGUAACUUUUAGGUGUUCAUGUUCGUCCACGUCGGUUGGGCGUCCCGGUGUUGCUGGCAUGCUCAGAGUUCAAAGAAAAUGA
rnacentral:rRNA from 1 species